rnacentral:rRNA from 1 species
AUUGAACGCUGGCGGAAUGCUUUACACAUGCAAGUCGAACGGCAGCACGGACUUCGGUCUGGUGGCGAGUGGCGAACGGGUGAGUAAUGUAUCGGAACGUGCCCAGUCGUGGGGGAUAACGUAGUGAGAAUUACGCUAAUACCGCAUACGAUCUAUGGAUGAAAGCGGGGGAUCGCAAGACCUCGCGCGAUUGGAGCGGCCGAUAUCAGAUUAGGUAGUUGGUGGGGUAAAGGCCCACCAAGCCAACGAUCUGUAGCUGGUCUGAGAGGACGACCAGCCAGACUGGAACUGAUACACGGUCCAGACUCCUACGGGAGGCAGCAGUGGGGAAUUUUGGACAAUGGGCGAAAGCCUGAUCCAGCCAUUCCGGGUGCAGGAUGAAGGCCCUCGGGUUGUAAACUGCUUUUGUACAGAACGAAAAGGUUUCUACUAAUACUAGGAGCUCAUGACGGUACUGUAAGAAUAAGCACCGGCUAACUACGUGCCAGCCGCCGCGGUAA